rnacentral:rRNA from 1 species
UACGUAGGGUGCAACCGUUAAUCGGAAUUACUGGGCGUAAAGCGUGCGUAGGCGGUUCUAUAAGACAGAUGUGAAAUCCCCGGGCUCAACCUGGGAACUGCAUUUGUGACUGUAGAGCUGGAGUACGGCAGAGGGGGAUGGAAUUCCGCGUGUAGCAGUGAAAUGCGUAGAUAUGCGGAGGAACACCGAUGGCGAAGGCAAUCCCCUGGGCCUGUACUGACGCUCAUGCACGAAAGCGUGGGGAGCAAACAGG